rnacentral:rRNA from 1 species
AAUGCAUCGGAAUCUACCCUGUCGUGGGGGAUAACGUAGGGAAACUUACGCUAAUACCGCAUACGACCGAGAGGUGAAAGUGGGGGACCGAAAGGCCUCACGCGAUUGGAUGAGCCGAUGCCGGAUUAGCUAGUUGGUGGGGUAAAGGCCCACCAAGGCGACGAUCCGUAGCUGGUCUGAGAGGAUGAUCAGCCACACUGGGACUGAGACACGGCCCAGACUCCUACGGGAGGCAGCAGUGGGGAAUAUUGGACAAUGGGCGCAAGCCUGAUCCAGCCAUGCCGCGUGUGUGAAGAAGGCCCUCGGGUUGUAAAGCACUUUUGUUCGGGAAGAAAUCGUGCAGAUUAAUACUUCGUACGGAUGACGGUACCGAAAGAAUAAGCACCGGCUAACUUCGUGCCAGCAGCCGCGGUAAUACGAAGGGUGCAAGCGUUACUCGGAAUCACUGGGCGUAAAGCGUGCGUAGGCGGUUCGUUAAGUCUGCUGUGAAAGCCCUGGGCUCAACCUGGGAACUGCAGUGGAUACUGGCGGGCUAGAGUGUGAUAGAGGAUGGUGGAAUUCCCGGUGUAGCGGUGAAAUGCGUAGAGAUCGGGAGG